rnacentral:lncRNA from 10 species
CUUUUCGAGGUAGGAGUCGACUCCUGUGAGGUAUGUUUUAUCUUUGCGAAUGUUGCGGGUUUUGGGGCGCUCCAGCCUUUGUCUGCUAAGGUCACCCUGAAUUGACUGGGACUUCUAAGCCAGUCGCGCGCCUUUGCAGGGCCUACAAGUUGAGGAUGGUGGGGGAUUGCACAUAUGGUGCAUGCGUGACCUAAGCUGCGACUAUGUUAGAGUAGAACUGCGGAGAAGCCUCGGCUCUCGUGCCCUGCCUCUGAUGAAGCCUGUGUUGGUAGGGACAUCUGAGAGUAAUGAUGAAUGCCAACCGCUCUGAUGGUGGCACAUGCCGAGUCACCCGAGUAAGCUAUUGUUAAGGGCCGUGACCCGAGCCUCCAUCAGCCGUCCGCUCUCAUGAAAGGCUGUCGGUGGUAGUCCACGUGCUUAAGUGCCUGCAUUCCGCAGUGUCACCAAUAUUUCCAUUAGUGUUUCUUUUUUCUUUUUUGAGACCGAGCCUCGUUCUGUCACCCAGGCUGGAAUGCAGUGGCUCGACAUCGGUUAAUGGCAACCUCCGCGUCCCGAGUUAAGCAGUUCUGCCUCAGCCUCCCAAGUAACUGGGACUACAGGCGCGCGCCACCAUGCUAGGCUUUUAUAUUUUUAGUAGAGACGGGGUUUCACCAUGUUGGCGAGACUGGUCUUGAACUCCUGACCUCAGGUGAUCCACCAGCCGUGGUCCCCCAACAUACUGGGAUUACAAGCCGUGAGCCACCGCGCCCGGCCGCCAUCGGUGGUUCUUAACUGCGGGUGCAGUGCUUCUUUGUAACAUUAAGUGUAUCCUUUACCUGUCGCUAGAUAAUGAAUGGUAUGGUGCUGGGUGCAGAUGCAGUGUGGCUCUGGAUAGCACCUUAUGGACAGUUGUGUCCCCAAGGAAGGAUGAGAAUAGCUACUGAAGUCCUAAAGAGCAAGCCUAACUCAAGCCAUUGGCACACAGGCAUUAGACAGAAAGCUGGAAGUUGAAAUGGUGGAGUCCAACUUGCCUGGACCAGCUUAAUGGUUCUGCUCCUGGUAACGUUUUUAUCCAUG